GGGCGUACAAAGAUUUAACCAGAAAGGAAAUUUCUUUCCGUAAAAUUAAGGAAUUCUGUCCAAAGGGAAGAAACCCAAACUUGGUAUAGAGUUAUCUAUUUGUUGUAGCAACGAACAGGUAAAAAAUAAAGACAGCCAUGACUGUACAACUGUAUAAUUAUGUUAUUCCUAUUAUCGACAUAAAAUUUGAUAAAAAUAACAGAAACCAGUGUAGUGCAAAGAUUCAAGAACGUUUAAGAAAUAUGGUGAAGAAGGCGGAGCUAUACAGUGAAAUACCAACCUGAGAUGGAAGUUAAAGCGAAACUGGACAGAGUAAUAACUAAUCAAAGAGCAGAUAGCUCUGAGGUGAAGGAAGAUGCAUGAAAGAUAAUCGUGUGGUACAUGGUGUGAGGGAUGUUUCAGUGUAUCUAAACUCAGGCGGAGUAGAUUCCUUUACGUGCUUAGUACAUGUAGUAACAGGGUAGAAGAGUAAGAUAUAAAGUUUGUGCAACUAUACAUGUGGAAGAUAACUAAAGUCCCAGUCUGUAGAAAACAGCUACAUGCACUUAAACUCAAGUUGUUAAGAGAAAGAUUACAUGAAUCUGAUGGUUUCUGAAGGAAACUGAAAAAAACUUAGAAAAUGAAAAAAAGUUCACUUCACAACAUGCUCAAUAAAAUGCUAGAUUUUGAGAGAAUCAAUCAACAAGCAGUCAUGUUUUUAUUGCAGAGGAGGAAAUGCUACAGUAUAAUGAUUUCCUGAAUGAAAAACAAACCAACCUAGAAUUCCUAAAUUAAGAGACAACAAAUGAAAAAGUUAAGGAUAGGAAAAAUGAGGCCAAUUUGGAAAUUACAUGAGAGGCUGUCAAUAGCAAAAAAAACCUUUUUACAAGAUUAAUGGUCAGUGAUGAAGGCAAAACAUAUGUACCAAAACUGACUAAUACAUUAUAUAUAGUUACCAUGGUUAUGUCAUGUAUGAACAAUGAUGUAGGAAGCAAUAUUUUACACCAAUCCUGAGAUGAUGUAUAAAUAUAUUGAAAUAAUUGAACAUCUCCAAUACUUGUGUAAAGAUUGAUGCAAAAAGGAUUAUAUUAUCACUUUUACCAAGUAGAAUAACAAGAAUAAGACUAUGUAUUCAAAUGAAAACAACAAAUGGCAACAUGUUGUAAACCUUUUUCUUGAAAACAUUCUGUGAAGCCUACAUGUAUGACAACACAUGAGCAUGAUUAGGUCAAGUAGAAUUUACAUGAAAAAAAUAGGGCUACACAUUAAACCCUUAUAAAAGUUUAAAUGAAAAAGACCUGAAGUGGCUUGCGAAAUGAACAUGAUGGAAAGUACCAACAUACAAUGAUAUACAGAAAGAUCAACAGAGUCCAAAAUCUCAAUAAAUUUUGUAACUUGGGUAUGAACUUCAAAGAACCAUGGUUCGUAUCAUGACUACUCAAAAGAUCAUAUAUGCAUGACAAAACAAAUCGUAACAUCAUCCACAGAUUAGAAGAUUACAAGGACAUACAAUAAAAGAGAUGGCUGUAUGAAACACUGUCUCAGACCUUCGAAUGUCUUAAAAUUAUUAAACAAUUCACAAAACCAGUUAUAAAUCUUAAACAUGUUAAAGAUGUUUGCUUCAUCUAUUUUUUUACUUUUUGUCAGAUAAGGAAUCCUCUUGAUAGUUCAAUGUUGUUUUAUUCAUAAUGUCCCAAUCAAAUUUUAGCCUGCUAACAAAUUUACUUUUUCUUUUCAUAUUUUGAUAUAAUAUAUUUUCAGAAGCCAUUUCUUUAAGUGAAAUAAAAUCCUUGUUAUUUUUUCUCAGUUUUAAAAAGAUGAAAAGUUUCAAUGCUAAAUGUAUGAAGGGGGUCUCAUUGGGGGGUUCCGAUCCCGGAUACCCGCUUACUGUUUUGUCAGAUUCCGGUAUCCCGCUUAUACUAUGUACGUAAGCAAUUCUCGUUUUUUUUUUCAUUUCCCGGGUCCCGCAAGACCUCAUUUCCCGUUUUCACGGCAAAAUAAUUUGACUUUCACGUGUCACGCUUACAAAAAAUCGGCAAUCCCGCGUCCCGCUUAGACCCCAAUGAGACCCACUAUGAAAACUAUACAGAAA